ACUUAGGCUACCGAUGGCCGUCUAUCCGACUGGGAGCGGUAAAGAUAUUGACACUGUAUAUAUUCUCACAACUUUCUGCCCUUUAUCCGUUAGUCCACCUGCGCAGUGAGGCGGAAGAUCCCCUCACUCUCCCACUUAUUCCCCCCGACGAAGUGGCAGAACCCUUCUUGUCCCACUAACUUCCGCAACCGGACGGAAGAUCCUCUCGCUUGUUCCCCCUAAUUCUCUACAGCGAAGCAGCAGGACCUUUCGUGUCACACUUACUCCCACGAUCCUUCCGACAUAAUUAAUCAAACUUGCUUCCAGCCGGCUAUCAAGAAAGAAUCCGGCUGCGGCCUCGCCCGAAGGUCCAGCCCGUAGGAUUUUCAGAUCCCACGACGCUCGCCUCGCACCUCGACCAACCACGGUAAAAUCCGGAUGCGGCCUCGCCCGUAGGUCCAGUCCGUAGGAUUUUCAGUCCCCACGACGCACGCCUCGCACUUCGGCCAUUCACGAUCAGAUCCGGCUGCGCCCUCGCCCCAAGGUCCAGCCCGUUGGACUUCUGACAACGAAUACUCGGCUAGGAUCACGAACCCUCUGCGGAAAUCGACCUCGCCCGAAGGUCCAGCCCGUGGAAUUUUUCAUCACGAAAGGACUUAGUGUUCCGAAAUCACCAUAACCUCGAAGGUCCUUCGAGAAUUGCAAGUCCUACGCCCACCUGAAAUACUCCCCCUCGAGAAAGACGCUCGCUCUCCGCCAGCAUUAGCCAGCUGAAACCCUACUACUCCAAAGAGAUGGAAGAAGUCAUCGAGUUGUCCGAUAGUUCCGGCGAUACCGAAAGCUUUCACCACGACCUUUCUGAUCGCGACGAGUGCGCCGCGGAAGGGUAUGACGGAGGAGAUUCGGAGACAUCGGAAGGCGAAGGCGAAGGGAUCGAGGUGGACCAGGUCGCCGACUACAGCGGCCAAGAUUAAAAGGAGAUGAACGAUAAUUAGUUCUGAAUUUCGAAUUUAAUUUUAUUAA